rnacentral:rRNA from 1 species
GAUGAACGCUGACAGAAUGCUUAACACAUGCAAGUCUACUUGAUUCUACUUCGGUAGUUGAUGGUGGCGGACGGGUGAGUAACGCGUAAAGAAUCUGCCCUUUAGUUUGGGAUAACCUUUGGAAACGAAGGCUAAUACCGGAUAUUAUGGAGACGUCGCAUGGCGACUCCAUGAAAGCUAUAUGCGCUAGAGGAGGACUUUGCGUCCCAUUAGUUCGUUGGUGAGGUAAUGGCUCACCAAGACCGCGAUGGCUAACCGGCCUUAGAGGGGGAUCGGCCACAAGGCAACGGGGACACGGUCCUUACUCCGACGAGAGGCAGAUGUGGGGAAGAUUGGCCAAUGUGCCAGAAGCCUGAUCCAGCAAUUCUGUGUGCACGAUGAAGGUCUUCGGAUUGUAAAGUGCGUUCAGUAGGGAAGAAAAAAAUGACGGUACCUACAGAAGAAGCGACGGCUAAAUAUGUGCCAGCAGCCGCGGUAACAC